rnacentral:sRNA from 1 species
AGCAGCCGCGGUAAUUCCAGCUCCAAUAGCGUAUAUUAAAGUUGUUGCAGUUAAAAAGCUCGUAGUUGAAUUUCGGGAUUUGCACAUCGGUCGUGCCUUAAGGGGUAUGAACUGGUGUAGUGAAUUUCUCACCUUCUGGAGAACCGCGAUGUCCUUAAUUGGGUGCCGCGAGGAACCAGGACCUUUACUUUAGAAAAAUUAGAGUGUUUAAAGCAGGCAUUUUUGCUUGAAUACAUUAGCAUGGAAUAAUAAAAUAGGACGGCAUGAUUCUAUUUUGUUGGUUUCUAGGAUCACCGUAAUGAUUAAUAGGGAUAGUUGGGGGCAUUAGUAUUCAAUUGUCAGAGGUGAAAUUCUUGGAUUUAUUGAAGACUAACUACUGCGAAAGCAUUUGCCAAGGAUGUUUUCAUUAAUCAAGAACGAAAGUUAGGGGAUCGAAGACGAUCAGAUACCGUCGUAGUCUUAACCAUAAACUAUGCCGACU